rnacentral:lncRNA from 1 species
AACUCAUGGGUUCACUACAAGCCUAUGAAGAGAGGUUCAAUAAGAAAAAUAAGGAGCCUUUGAAGCAAGCUUUACAAGCAAAACUCUCUUUCAAGGAAGAGAGUAGUGAAAAGACACAUCAAACGAGUCAACGCGGUCGUGGUCAAGUACGUGGCUAAGGACGAGGGCGAGGAUAUAUCAAACGUGGAGGCUAUAGUUCUUACAAAAAUGAAGAAAGAA